ACCAAAGGAUUUAUGUUUACUUGUUGGGCAGCAGUCCCAUUCACUGAAUUUUGCUGUAGAGAACCAUUCAUACUGAUAUUUUGUUGCACAGAAUGCAUAUGUGGUGGUGGAGGAAGUGGUUGUGGUGGUGGCUGCUGAGUGGCGGCAGGUUUCCGGAGGUUUGAGGUGAUGAUAUGGAGGAUCUGCUUCUCANCUGCUGAGUGGCGGCAGGUUUCCGGAGGUUUGAGGUGAUGAUAUGGAUGAUCUGCUUCUCGUAAGUACUCAGUUUGUCUUUAUAGUUGACUAAAAUGUUGUGCUUUUGGAUUUGUAAGAAUGCCAUGAAACGCUCCAACAUGUUUUUGAAUGCUUUCAGCUUCUCAAGUUGCUCAUUAUUUGAUUGCUGAGGAAGAGAAU
rnacentral:lncRNA from 1 species